AGUCUCAUUGUCCUGGGUGGGAUAUUUCUGAGAUGGCUUGAGUCUGGUUUGACUGGCAAUAAAACCAACAUUUGGAGUUCUGUAUCCAGUUUGGAGAGUAUUGAUGCUGUCAAGACAUACUGGAAUAUUUGCAGAACAUAUCUGGCAG